rnacentral:pre_miRNA from 1 species
GUAGUACUCCCUCCGUCCGGAAAUACUUGUCAUCAAAAUGAAUAAAAGGGGAUGUAUCUAAAUGUAUAUUAGUUCUAGAUACAUUUUUUUAAUCCAUUUUGAUGACAAGUAUUUUCGGACGGAGGGAGUACUUG